UACGGAGGGGGCUAGCGUUGUUCGGAAUUACUGGGCGUAAAGCGCACGUAGGCGGCUUUGUAAGUUAGAGGUGAAAGCCCGGAGCUCAACUCCGGAAUUGCCUUUAAGACUGCAUCGCUAGAAUUGUGGAGAGGUAAGUGGAAUUCCGAGUGUAGAGGUGAAAUUCGUAGAUAUUCGGAAGAACACCAGUGGCGAAGGCGACUCACUGGCCCGAUACUGACGCUGAGGCGCGAAAGCGUGGGGAGCAAACAGG
rnacentral:rRNA from 1 species